UAUUGGUCAAUGGGCGAGAGCCUGAACCAGCCAAGUAGCGUGAGGGAAGACGGUCUUCGGAUUGUAAACCUCUGUCUUCGGGGACGAAAGAUGACGGUACCCGAGGAGGAAGCCACGGCUAACUACGUGCCAGCAGCCGCGGUAAUACGUAGGUGGCGAGCGUUGUCCGGAAUUACUGGGUGUAAAGGGAGCGUAGGCGGGAAGACAAGUUGGACGUUAAAUUUAUCGGCUUAACCGGUAACCGCGUUCAAAACUGUUUUUCUUGAGUGAAGUAGAGGUUGGCGGAAUUCCUAGUGUAGCGGUGAAAUGCGUAGAUAUUAGGAGGAACACCAGUGGCGAAGGCGGCCAACUGGGCUUUAACUGACGCUGAGGCUCGAAAGCGUGGGGAGCAA
rnacentral:rRNA from 1 species